AGCUCUUCUAAUUAAGCUGAAGCAGCAGGAGCAGUGUGGAUGCUGAAGGGCUGUAAAAGAAACAAACCAGGAAAAAGAUCGAAGCUAAAAUCAAACUGAUAUGAGUACCAGGUGGACGUGUCUGCUGGCAAAGGCAGAAUAUAGCAGAGAAAUGUCUGCGUCAACAAACUCCAGGUAAAUCUUGCAGUUGGCAUCAUUAAGCAAUUGACACAUUUUGCUCCAGUGUAAUUACCUUUACGACUCUGUUUGUAGUGCUCUUUUUAUUCAGAAUGGGAAAUACCUGAAAUAGUCUGGUAAAUUUUACUACUGCAGGUGGGGAAUGUCCAGUUUAAUGGCCCCACUGUAUUACUCUUUGUUAUUCAUGUGCGCCA
rnacentral:lncRNA from 1 species